GGGUCUGUAGCUCAGUUGGUUAGAGCACACCCCUGAUAAGGGUGAGGCCAGUGGUUCGAAUCCACUCAGACCCA
rnacentral:tRNA from 2 species